rnacentral:rRNA from 1 species
UACGUAGGGAGCAAGCGUUGUCCGGAAUCAUUGGGCGUAAAGCGCGCGUAGGCGGCCUCGUAAGUCCGUUGUGAAAGUCAAAGGCUCAACCUUUGAAAGCCGAUGGAUACUGUGAGGCUAGAGUCCGGAAGAGGCGAGUGGAAUUCCUGGUGUAGCGGUGGAAUGCGCAGAUAUCAGGAGGAACACCAAUAGCGAAGGCAGCUCGCUGGGACGGUACUGACGCUAAGGCGCGAAAGCGUGGGGAGCGAACGGG